rnacentral:miRNA from 1 species
UGGAAGGCGUUGCUUUCAGCUG